AUUGAACCCGCAGCCGAUGGUGCCUUGUCUGCGGACAGGGCGAAAAGGGAAUACCGGGUGUCAGGAUACGGCAAGUUGCCGGAUCCGGACCAAGCCGGAGCUGCCCCCGCAACUGUGAGCGGAAAGCCUGCACCGAAAACCACUGGGUCUCGACCUGGGAAGGUGGUGCCGGCGAUGACCCGCAAGCCAGGAAACCUGCCGUCGCCUGCUUUGUUCG
rnacentral:ncRNA from 1 species